rnacentral:lncRNA from 1 species
CACCAAUGUUCGUCUUUCAUCUAGACGAUUAUGAUCUUAACCCCAUGAUGAUUAAGUAUACUGCUUAGCUCUCUGAGGGAAAAAGCGAUCUGCCCUUCAUGAUAGAUUAGAGGAUGAAACAGCUUUAUCGUUCGCAUCAAAUCACGAUCAUUUACAGGCAACCUAGGUAAUGUUAGCUUUCCAUUUCUUAUAUCCAAUUUUGAUGGAUUGAAACCCAUAUAUGGUAUUAAGGCCACUAUCUAGAUCUGGAUCCAUGAAAAGGGAACUCUAAUCAAUUUUUUUCUUAGGUUCUCUUCUCUCUUUACGCAACUUCACGGUUGAACUCAACCAAGUAUCACUCUUUACAGAUUUGCAUAUCUAGCAAUCAGGUAUCAAUAUCUACUUUUAAGACCUUUUCGAUAUGUAAAAAAAAUCUAAGAUAACAAAAUUCAGUCAUUUAAUUUUUUUAUCAAAAGAGACAUCUUAAACAGUCUUUGAAUUUCAGAAAAAUGAGAAACUGAUUCAACUGGACGCUCCUCUUGCCUUUUUCGUUGCGUGCCCUAUUAUUGCUUUCUCAGUUGCAGGAUACUUAACCAACAGAAUCUAAUUCAGGCAAAUGAAAAGCAAAUAUAACUAACACCAUGGAUAAUUAUUAACAUCUAUAAGUCUAUAAACUACUAGAGACUGAUUGAAAUUUUGAAAUGGACAAAAUCAAACACAAAUUGCUAGUAACCUUAAUUCGAGAUUUUCUUCAACAUGGUAAUAAAUUUCAAACUUUACCAGAAAAGGGAAGAAGAAAACAAUUAUGUGGUAUCCAAAUUCUGAAUCUAUGGAUAUUCAAGUCAAUUUCAUUCACACUUUUAUCCCUAAAUAGCUUAAAUGGAUGGUGAAUGGGCGCAAGAUUUUUCCUAUAGAAUUCUGAAAAAUUUAUAUUAAGUCAAUUGCGUUACUAAUCCGACUUGGAAUCAUUUUCUCUAGUGUGAAAACGAUUUCUUGUUUUCACCAAUUGUGCACGCCUCAGUUCAUCUUUGAUCAACUCCCCUAUGCUCAUCUAGAGUACCAAAUCUAAACUCAUUCACCGAUAUUUUAUUAUUAAUUCCAUUUAUCUUAGUAAUUUCAGCGAUGAGCUUGAUUUGUUUUGUUGUUGAUCUUGCCAAGUACGUCUCAUAUACAUCCAAUCUUGAACAAAUUGAUAUCUUGAAUCACAAAAUAUUACCCUUUAAGUGGUUGGAGUUGGGGCGAAAAUUAAAGGGAUUUAGGUUUUGACCAGUAUGAAUCUCAAUCUUUUGCGUGACUCUGUUUUUUAUGUUAUAACAAAGUUGUUUCGAUUUUGGAAAGAGCUAUGUAUUAGCUAUCGAAGUAUUGAUUAUGUUUUGUAUUCUGUAUAUAUUUCUUCAGAGGCUAGCAAUUUGGUCGUGACUGAUUAUGGGGUCGAGGUUAGCAAUAUGUGAAGAAGAAGGAAGUAAUUGAAG